rfam:Agrilus planipennis Contig36411, whole genome shotgun sequence.
AUAUAAAAACCACAAUUACCUAAUACACAAAUACAUACGGCUGAAGAGGACCUUCAUUGGUCCUAGAACGGCCUGAGGUAGAGGGGUUUUAGUCGGUAGGUCCGAGGACUCCUUCCUCAGGAAUCCGACACUACCCAGUCGUACGGACGGUUGGGUGUCUUUUGAAGAUUUCCUCUCUUCCACGAAA